rnacentral:rRNA from 1 species
GACUGCGUACCUUUUGUAUAAUGGGUCAGCGACUUAUAUUCUGUAGCAAGGUUAACCGUAUAGGGGAGCCGGAGGGAAACCGAGUCUUAAUUGGGCGUUAAGUUGCAGGGUAUAGACCCGAAACCCGGUGAUCUAGCCAUGGGCAGGUUGAAGGUUGGGUAACACUAACUGGAGGACCGAACCGACUAAUGUUGAAAAAUUAGCGGAUGACCUGUGGCUGGGGGUGAAAGGCCAAUCAAACCGGGAGAUAGCUGGUUCUCCCCGAAAGCUAUUUAGGUAGCGCCUCGUGAAUUCAUCUCCGGGGGUAGAGCACUGUUUCGGCUAGGGGGCCAUCCCGGCUUACCAACCCGAUGCAAACUGCGAAUACCGGAGAAUGUUAUCACGGGAGACACACGGCGGGUGCUAACGUCCGUCGUGAAGAGGGAAACAACCCAGACCGCCAGCUAAGGUCCCAAAGUCAUGGUUAAGUGGGAAACGAUGUGGGAAGGCCCAGACAGCCAGGAUGUUGGCUUAGAAGCAGCCAUCAUUUAAAGAAAGCGUAAUAGCUCACUGGUCGAGUCGGCCUGCGCGGAAGAUGUAACGGGGCUAAACCAUGCACCGAAGCUGCGGCAGCGAACGUAUCACCCAAGACAACUUUACGGAGUUGACGAUUGACGGAGCGAAGCGACGUCAAAGCGUUCAUUAAAGUCGAGUUGGCUUAGGGAUACGUUCGUUGGGUAGGGGAGCGUUCUGUAAGCCUGUGAAG